rnacentral:rRNA from 1 species
CGGCCUGAUAAGUCCGCUGUGAAAUCUGGUGGCUCAACCAUCAGAAGGGCGGCGGAUACUAUGAGGCUUGGGACCGGAGGGCGUCGAGGCUAUUCCCGGGGUAGGGGUGAAAUCCAAAAAUCCCGGGAGGAGCACCGGUGGCGAAAGCGCUCGGCGACUACGGGUCCGACGGUGAGGGACGAAAGCCAGGGGAGCAAAGCGGAUUAGAUACCCGCGUAGUCCUGGCCGUUAACGAUGCCCGCUUGAUGUAGGGAAUCUUCCGAGGAUUCCCUGUGCCGAAGGAAAACCGUUAAGCGGGCCGCCUGGGGA